rnacentral:rRNA from 1 species
UACGUAGGGCGCAAGCGUUAUCCGGAAUUAUUGGGCGUAAAGAGCGUGUAGGCGGCCAGGUAGGUCCGUUGUGAAAACUGGAGGCUUAACCUCCAGCGGUCGAUGGAAACCAUCUGGCUAGAGUCCGGAAGAGGAGAGUGGAAUUCCUGGUGUAGCGGUGAAAUGCGCAGAUAUCAGGAAGAACACCCGUGGCGAAGGCGGCUCUCUGGGACGGUACUGACGCUGAGACGCGAAAGCGUGGGGAGCGAACAGG